rnacentral:rRNA from 1 species
UUGGAGGGCAAGUCUGGUGCCAGCAGCCGCGGUAAUUCCAGCUCCAAUAGCGUAUAUUAAAGUUGUUGCAGUUAAAAAGCUCGUAGUUGAAUUUCGGGAUUAAUUUAUCGGUCGUGCUUUUGUACGUACUGGUUUUAUUGGUUCCUACCUUCUGACGAACCAUGAUGGCAUUAAUUUGGUGUCUUGGGGAAUCAGGACUGUUACUUUGAAAAAAUUAGAGUGGUUAAAGCAGG